UACACAUGCAGUCGAACGAUGAUGCCCAGCUUGCUGGGCGGAUUAGUGGCGAACGGGUGAGUAAUACGUGAGUAACCUGCCCUUGACUCUGGGAUAAGCCUGGGAAACUGGGUCUAAUACUGGAUACUACCGUCCACCGCAUGGUGGGUGGUGGAAAGGGUUUUACUGGUUUUGGAUGGGCUCACGGCCUAUCAGCUUGUUGGUGGGGUAAUGGCUCACCAAGGCGACGACGGGUAGCCGGCCUGAGAGGGUGACCGGCCACACUGGGACUGAGACACGGCCCAGACUCCUACGGGAGGCAGCAGUGGGGAAUAUUGCACAAUGGGCGGAAGCCUGAUGCAGCGACGCCGCGUGAGGGAUGACGGCCUUCGGGUUGUAAACCUCUUUCAGUAGGGAAGAAGCGAGAGUGACGGUACCUGCAGAAGAAGCGCCGGCUAACUACGUGCCAGCAGCCGCGGUAAUACGUAGGGCGCAAGCGUUGUCCGGAAUUAUUGGGCGUAAAGAGCUCGUAGGCGGUUUGUCGCGUCUGCUGUGAAAGCCCGGGGCUCAACCCCGGGUCUGCAGUGGGUACGGGCAGACUAGAGUGCAGUAGGGGAGACUGGAAUUCCUGGUGUAGCGGUGAAAUGCGCAGAUAUCAGGAGGAACACCGAUGGCGAAGGCAGGUCUCUGGGCUGUUACUGACGCUGAGGAGCGAAAGCAUGGGGAGCGAACAGGAUUAGAUACCCUGGUAGUCCAUGCCGUAAACGUUGGGCACUAGGUGUGGGGGACAUUCCACGUUUUCCGCGCCGUAGCUAACGCAUUAAGUGCCCCGCCUGGGGAGUACGGCCGCAAGGCUAAAACUCAAAGGAAUUGACGGGGGCCCGCACAAGCGGCGGAGCAUGCGGAUUAAUUCGAUGCAACGCGAAGAACCUUACCAAGGCUUGACAUUCACCGGACCGCCCCAGAGAUGGGGUUUCCCUUCGGGGCUGGUGGACAGGUGGUGCAUGGGUUGUCGUCAGCUCGUGUCGUGAGAUGUUGGGUUAAGUCCCGCAACGAGCGCAACCCUCGUUCUAUGUUGCCAGCACGUGAUGGUGGGGACUCAUAGGAGACUGCCGGGGUCAACUCGGAGGAAGGUGGGGAUGACGUCAAAUCAUCAUGCCCCUUAUGUCUUGGGCUUCACGCAUGCUACAAUGGCCGGUACAAAGGGUUGCGAUACUGUGAGGUGGAGCUAAUCCCAAAAAGCCGGUCUCAGUUCGGAUUGAGGUCUGCAACUCGACCUCAUGAAGUCGGAGUCGCUAGUAAUCGCAGAUCAGCAACGCUGCGGUGAAUACGUUCCCGGGCCUUGUACACACCGCCCGUCAAGUCACGAAAGUUGGUAACACCCGAAGCCGGUGGCCUAACCCCUUGUGGGAGGGAGCCGUCGAAUGG
rnacentral:rRNA from 1 species